rnacentral:tRNA from 1 species
AUCUUCGUGGUGUAAUGAGUAAGCACAUCCGACUAGUAGUCGGAAGGUCCGGACUUUGAAUCCUGCGAGGUUA